rnacentral:rRNA from 1 species
AACUAACGCUGGCGGCGUGCCUAACACAUGCAAGUCGUACGAGAAAGUUGGCUUCGGCUGAUGAGUAAAGUGGCGCACGGGUGAGUAACGCGUGGAUAAUCUACCUCUUUCUGGGGGAUAACGCACCGAAAGGUGCGCUAAUACCGCAUAACCCGGUUGAUUUUUGGAUUGAUCGGUAAAGGUGGCCUCUUGAUCAAAGCUACCGGGAAGAGAUGAGUCCGCGUCCCAUUAGCUAGUUGGUGGGGUAAUGGCCUACCAAGGCUCCGAUGGGUAGCUGGUCUGAGAGGACGAUCAGCCACACUGGAACUGGAACACGGUCCAGACUCCUACGGGAGGCUG